rnacentral:rRNA from 1 species
UACGUAGGGGGCAAGCGUUGUCCGGAAUUAUUGGGCGUAAAGAGCGUGUAGGCGGUCCGGUAAGUCAGCUGUGAAAGUCAAGGGCUCAACCCUUGAAAGCCGGUUGAUACUGUCGGGCUAGAGUCCGGAAGAGGCGAGUGGAAUUCCCGGUGUAGCGGUGAAAUGCGCAGAUAUCGGGAGGAACACCAAUGGCGAAGGCAGCGCGCUGGGACGGUACUGACGCUGAGACGCGAAAGCGUGGGGAGCAAACAGG